GGAGUGCGUUCGGUGCGCCGUGGGUCCGCGCUGCUUCCACCCAACUUCCUGUUAGGUUACAUUAGUUAUAAUAUACACUCUGGAGGUGACUUGACUUGUCAUUGUGAACAACUAUUGCUCUUGGACGACCCAGGACAUAGGCCAGCCAGUACGUACCCCAGUGUGUUGGAGAAUCGCACUCGGCUUCUUCCUCUGUGCUGAGUCAUGAAAGUUGCCGGAGCAGG
rnacentral:lncRNA from 1 species